rnacentral:lncRNA from 1 species
UGGUGGUCGGCGUUGAAAUUCCGAUGAGGAGGAUGAUGAGUAUGGCUGUUAUGGUAGGGUGAGCAGUAAGGGAGUGUUUGGAUGAGUGCACUGACAUGGUGAAAUAUUAGGAUGGGAUCACUAACACGCAGUUUAACGCUGUAAGCAAUUUCAACCGUUGAUUUAGUUUAAUUUGAAAGCUUCGAUGAAAAGUCUUUUUUUAGUAAGAAUCAGAUUCGGUAACUCGGGUUUAGAACAUACUGAACAACAACUACUUGUGUCGGAAUUAGGUGAUAAUUUCUAUGAUGAGUUCUUGGUUUAGAAGUUUAGUUUGAUGUGGUGAGUGAGAUUGGAAUUAGAUUAGAUAGUUUGUUUAUUUAUAAAUGAACAAAGAUUAUGUUCACUUUCUUGUCAAAGGGGUUUCCUUACAAUGUUUCUUGUCAAAGGGGUUUCCUUACAAUGUUUCUUGUCAAAUGGGAAAGAUUAUGAUAUUGAUAUUCAGUUUUGAAUUUUUCAACCAUUUUAUUAUUAUCUGUUAGAAAAAUGUGGGUCUCCACCAUGGCAACAUCUCUAUUAUUAGAGGAGGAACUUUUUCCAACCCAAAAUCAAUUCGAUGUACACAUUCGAGAAGAUAAAAAAAAACACAAUUUUUGUGCCGUUUGAAUAUGUAUUUAUGAACAAAAAUACUAUCGUCUAAAAAUAUGCUUUCAGAGUUUUUUUAGAUAUGAGGGUAGACAAAGUUGUCUUCUUAGUUAGAGAGCUAUCAAGUUUGACCCGACCUAACGCCAACAGACUAGUUUGACUCUACCUCAUCCCUUUUUGCAAUUGCUGGCUUUGAAUCUGAUAUAUGUCAUAUCAUUAUUUGACUAAUCUCAAAGUUUUAUUUUUCUUUGUAGACAAAGUGACAAAUACCACUGAAACUGAUACACACACUGCGAGGUCUUGGGUUUGAACUCGAGUGAAGGCAUCCACCAUAACAAAUAUCGGCAUUGCCAUUUGAGCUAGGACUUAUGGACGAUUGAUCUCAGAGUUAUGAUGUGGUAAUAUAUAUGAUCUAGUUUGUUAUUUGGUGAUUAUUAUACAUAGACAUGAUAAGAGCAAGAUAGUUAUAUAUCACUUUCUCUAUUCUUGAGCACAAAAGAGAAUGCUUAUUUUAAUUUUUUCCUUAUAGUUUUUAUCAUCACUACAUAUUAUUCAUCCAAAGAUAAGAUUAUCUAGUUUUUACUUUCCAAAUUAAACAUUUAACAUUAUAGUUUUUGGAUUGGUAUAGUAAGAUUGAUGAAUAUACCUGCAACUUUUGGCCUUGUAGCAUCUCAGCUUCAAGUUCAUCAAAAGAUCUGUACAGAAUAUUGAAAAUCAGAUAUAAGUAAUCAACUAUUUUUAUUUUCAAUUAAAAAUUAUAGAAAAAAGAGAAAGAAACACAACAAAAACAAACCUCUUCCCUCCAUUCUUUGCAUAAGCCUCAGCAACUUUCCUGUUUCUUCCACCCACUGCCACAGAUAAUACGGUUUGAAUGAAACUAAGCAACAAAUUAUUGGAAAAUACAUUUAUUUAAUCUAGUAAAAAUUUCAAGCAGUCGCUGCAUCAAUAAACUUUGGUCGUUGGAUGAAGAUUGAACGGUUGAAAUUAGUAGUUUAAACUAUGAAGCACCAACACUCAAUUUGAAAGCCUGUCUGACAUGACACAGACGCAUAAUUAUAUUCAGAUGCUUCUAUAGCAUAUUCUCCAUUUAGUCGCCGGUGUCUGUCAUAUUUGAUGUUAUGUAUGUGCCAGUGGUUUAUAGAUUUUAAAGAUUUCUGAUGUCAAAGUAUGAAUUUUCUGAUCUUCAUCCAACAAUCGAGAUUUGUUGAUUGUAGCGACUACGACUACGAGGUUUCUCAACUGCAGAGAAUCCAAAUCUGAUUAAUAUGAGGUGAAAUUGAUUAGCUCUCUUACAGCAUGUUGUGAUAAGGUCAGCUACACCACAACUCUCAAAGAAGGUACUAUCCUUAACAGAUGGAAACAACAACUUUGAAAAUGCCUUCAUUUCUCUAAGACCAAGUCUCAUGAUUGCAGCCUACACAUAUUAAAAGAAUCUUAGAUACAAAAUAAAUAAAUAAUUUUCCAUAAAAAACUUUCAUAUACUAAAAUCUCUUUAUGCUUACUUUUGUAUUAUUUCCCAUCUCCAAUCCAUCAACAAAACCUGUCCCAUUUUUUAUGUCAUUUCUUGUUCAUUCAUAACAAAUUUUAACAAAGAAAUGGAACAAAGUGCAAGUAUAUUACAACAAACCUGCUGCUAUGGCCACAACAUUUUUUAGAGUUCCACAUAAUUCAACUCCUUCAACAUCUUGAACCUAAUUUUAAUAUAGAACACAAAAAUCAUAAGCACGAGUAAUAAAUCAAUGUUUUGCAAAUUUGAAACUGCUCAUGACCACUUGAUUCUACCAUGUCAUGACAAUGUUUCUUUGGCAUUUUUUUUUGGCGUAACCCAGGUAUCCUCUACGCGCAACUGUAGAGACUAAUUCCUUGAGCUUUGUGGGACUCAAUGGGUAGCAAACUCUCCCUACGAGUUUCUUUGGCAUAUUACUUAAACCAAAUUUCGGAUCUUAAUCCUCUAUAGCAGCGAGUUGUUGGAUCCAAGUCCAAGAUUACACUUAAUGCAUGUUCGGACUGACGGUUGGCAAAAUCACGCUGAAUCACUUCGAUUUUGAGAAGAGUUAUAUUUUAGAGCUUUAUCAAAAUCACGAUGUCAUUAUAGUUUUCUCAAAUUCACAUCAAAUCCAAACAUGCAUCUAGAUGCAAUAGUUCUACAACAACUAUAAUUGUGCAGUUGCUGCAGAGGAUCUAGACAUUCAAAUUCCUUAGAUUCAUUCAAAAUAAACUUCGGAUCCUCUCCUACAGUGUAAUGGUGCGUGCGGUAAUUUUUUUUAAACUAGGACAGCAUACCACCGUAUGUGGUAGCACUUUUGUAAAUGGACAAAAUUUUGCUGCACCUAGGAGAGGCUCCAAGUCCUUCAAAAUAACUUGUGGCAAGUUUUUUACAAGAUUUCCGCACUUACUGCUGUUACAAUGAAAUAAUGAGUAUAAAACAAUUGAACCCAUCUCUCUGCAGCUUCUCUAUUCUGCCUGUAUCCAACAGUUGCUUCACUAAACUUCUCUACAGCUAUCUGCACAAAAAGUAAUCAGAAUAGCCAAAAAGGCGUAAUCGAACCCUCUACAACAUGGUGCUGCAGCCUUAGAAACUGUUAGAUUUCAAGACUACUCGAAAUCUAACGACCCCUACAGCUGCAGCACCAUAAAAUGUAAGAAAAUACUUUAAUUUUUUCUAACUACCUCAUUUGCUAUAUUUGCGCCCAUCAAAACAGAACAAUUGAUUCCAAGUUCUUCUGAAAUGAGUGUUGAGAUCAUACAAGGGCCUUCCAUUUUAACCUCCAUACCUUUAACAAGAGAAAUAGCCUCAGCAUCUGCCCUUAUUUUUCCAGCUAUUCUUUUGCAUAUUCCUUCCAUAAAUUGAUGUGGAGUCACAAACACUAACAUAUUUGCAUCCCUCACUGCAUAAUUUACUUAAUCAGAACACCACACAAGUUGACACUUGACACCAACACACCCUAAAAAUUCAUAGUAAACAAUUUUGUAAUGCUAAUGAAGUAUCCUAUCUUUUUUUGAUAAAAGUACUAAUUUAUUACCUGCAUUUUCUAGGUCUGGAUCUGCAACAACAUUUUUUCCAAGCUUGAUUCCAGGGAGGUAUUUUACAUUUUCCUGCCAGAAGCAAUAGUAAAAUAGCGGUUUGGUUAAAUUCCACUAUGCUACAAUGCUGCUAUAGCCGUUAUUUAACAAUGUUUUGUACUAAAGAACAUAUCGCAGAUUAUGAGUGAUUUGUUCAAAUUUUGCUAUGCUACAGCAUUAUAUAGCGCUACUAAUUAACGACGCUAUCAUUAAAAUAGUGAAACUUCAAUGAAAAACAUUCGAUACAAAAUUUGG